GGCGUCCGCAUUGUAAUCUCAAGAAGUGUUUUCCGCUUCGGACCAUGCCUAAGUCCCUUGGAAAAGGGCAUCAUAGAGGGUGAUAAUCCCGUACAUGGCAUGGAGCGCCCGAGGCUUUGUGAUACGCUUUCUAAGAGUCGAGUUGUUUGGGAAUGCAGCUCUAAAUGGGUGGUAAAUGCCAUCUAAGGCUAAAUAUUGGGGAGAGACCGAUAGCGAACAAGUACAGUGAUGGAAAGAUGAAAAGAACUUUGAAAUGAGAGUUAAACAGUACGUGAAAUUGCCAAAAGGGAAGGGUAGGAGGUCAGAGAUGCGUCUUGGGAUUCAGCCUUGCUUUUGCUUGGUGUUUUUCCCAAGUUGCAGGCCAACGUCGGAUUUGGGCACUGGAGAAGGGUGGAAGGAACGUGGCACCUCUCGGGGUGUGUUAUAGCCUUCUACUGGAUACAGCGACCGAGACCGAGGACAGCAGCGUACUCGCAAGAGCGGGCCUUCGGGCACCUUUACGCUUAGGGCGUUGGCAUAAUGGC
rnacentral:rRNA from 1 species